UACGUAGGGUGCGAGCGUUGUCCGGAAUUAUUGGGCGUAAAGAGCUCGUAGGCGGUUUGUCGCGUCGGCUGUGAAAACUCGGGGCUCAACCCCGAGCCUGCAGCCGAUACGGGCAGACUAGAGUUCGGCAGGGGAGACUGGAAUUCCUGGUGUAGCGGUGAAAUGCGCAGAUAUCAGGAGGAACACCGGUGGCGAAGGCGGGUCUCUGGGCCGAUACUGACGCUGAGGAGCGAAAGCGUGGGGAGCGAACAGG
rnacentral:rRNA from 1 species